rnacentral:lncRNA from 1 species
CUCUUUGCCGUCGCUGACGAAUGCCGGCAACGUUCCGUUCCCUAUCAGAACAUCGCCAUUGCUGGUCACACAUGAAAUGACGAAUGGGUCGUACGAGAAGGAGAGAUGAGAGUUGGGGUUUUUGGAAGAAAGGGUUAAGUUGAAAAGGGUUGAAAGAUGGGAAGUGGAGGAGUCGACGGCGGUUUUGAGCUUCAAGCGGUGGAUACGGAGGGAAGCGAGGGUGAAAGAAGGGCGGUGAGGGCGGUAAAGGACGUAAAGGACUGUGCCAGUUAUGGCUACUAAAAGGGCGAGCACGAGGAUUAUGAGGAUGAUCCAGAAACAGCAGCAGCAACAGUAGUUGCGCCGUGGACGGUAGUUGCGACGUCUGUUAUGGGGCUGUGGACGGUAGGGUAGGCGGGCGGUGGGGUUAAUGAGGUGGGAUUUUGUAGUUCCGCCGUUGGUUGUGGUGGUGGUGGUGGUGGUAGUAGUAGUAGGAGCUGCUGAUCCACCAGGGGCAGCGGUGGCGGUGGGUUUGGAGGAAGGGAAUACUUUGUCCGCCAUUGUCAAAAACUGAAAAAUGGAGGAUGUUUCAAAGGAAAAGUUAGGAAAUGGUGAAAUUUGUAAAGGGAGAAAGAGUGAAUUCGAGGAGAAGAAUUGAACAUUGAAGUGAAAGACUGGUACUUUCCACCUUUGGAUGGUACCACCUCACCAUAUUUGGAUUUAUUUAUUUUUUAAAUUAUUGUGUUUAAUAUAAGCAUUUAAUCGAAUUUUUUAAAAAUUAUUUUAGCCAAUUAAAUUUGAUAAUUUCAUGUUAAUAUGUACAAACGUAGGCCAACUUUGAGCACUUUAAUUUCUUCAAAGUAACAGCGUCGGAGGAACGACCUAACUAAUUAAGGUCAGUAGCACAUCGCCGACAGUAGAGACGAGAAGACCGGUGCUCACCGUGAGACGGACCGACCGACCCACCCCUAAGUCCAACUAUGAGUUUUUUAACUGCAAUAACUUAAAUAUAUCCUAUUGGAGUUGGAAUUACCGCGACUACCACUCACAUUUUUGUAUUUUAAUAUAAGCAUUUAAUUGAAUUUUUUAAAAGUUAUUUUAGCCAAUUAAAUUUGAUAAUUUUAUAUUUUAAUAUAAAUAUUUUAAUUUUAUAAUAUAAUUGAUUUGUGAGUAAUUAUUUUGAUUAAAAUGAAAACAUAUUUUUUAUGAUAAAGAGUAAUGUCAAAUAGUUCAUUUCCUCAGUUCCUUUUUUUCUUUAAAUAGUAUCAACAUUUUAAUAAAAAUAAUAAUUAAUGGUAUUAAAUUAUUGAGUUCAUUAAUAAUAUUAUAAAAUGAUUAUAUUAAAUUAAAAUAUAAAACUUUAUAUUUAAAUUUCUGAAGUACUUUACUGAAGUGUUGAAAAUAAUAAAUUUAAAAAAAAAAAUCAGCUUUUCAAACUUGAAUGUCAAGUCAAGGUUUUUCUUUCAUUUUGGUUAAUGUCCGAAGGAACAUGUUACACGUUGGUUAGGAUCUUUUUUAUUUUAGAUCUCUUUGUCUUUUGAGAUGUGAUGAUGGCGUAAACUAUCAGCAAUAAUUAUUAGCUUAACUUUUUUUUUUAGAGUUUUAGAUUUAUUAAUUAUUUUGUAUAAAUUUGCUCAUUGCUUUUUAAUGUAUUAGUCACUUUUAUUGGCGGAGUAAAAUUCAUUUCUUUCGAAAAAAAAAUUGAAUUUCAAAUUAACUUAAGUGAGUUUUAAAUUUUUUUUAGUUAACUUGAAUUAAUUCGAGUUUAAAUUUAAAUUUUAUAAUUUAAAUAAUUUAAAAAUGAAUAAAUUGACCUUCCUCAACAACAAUUAAAAAAAGUUCAAAAUAAUUUUAAACAAUUUAAUAUAAUUUUCAAAAUUCAAAAUAUUUAUAAAAGAUUCAAAAUUUUGUACUUUUUAAAAGAUUAUAAUUUUUAAAAAAACUAUAGAAUAUAUAAAGAAAGUUAAAAUUUAAAAAAAAAUUUAAAAUAAUAAAUUUGGGACUUAAUUUUAACUAAAUUAAUUAUUCAAUUCUAUUAUACUUAAAUAAGUUAAUAAUUUUGUAUUGAUGGAACUUAUGCUUCAUCAUCUACGAUGAGUGUUUGUUAUUUUUUCUUUAAAUUGUAUGGUUCCAUUCAUUGAAUAAAUUAAUGAAUUUAUCUUUCAAAAAAAUUUAUUCAAUUAUACUAUACUAAAGUAUAUUUUUUUUUCUUAUUUUGCUUUAAAAAAAUUUCAAAUAUAUAUGGUUUUAAAUGUAUGUGCUCUAACAUAAAAAUAGUUAUAUUGUAACAAUAUUUUAAUUUGUCAUGUUUAAUUUUUUAAUCUAACUCGAAUAAUUUCAUUUGAGUCGUUGACUUAAAUUUCAUUUCAAUCGACUCGAUCUGAAAGAAUUUCAAAUCGAGUUAGGAUGAUAGAAUAAGAUUUGUCAACUCAAUUAAAAGUUCAUAAUGUUAUAAAUUAUAAUUAAAUUUAUAUUUCUAUUUAACCAGCUUGAAAUAUUGGUUAUGAUAAUUUUUUUUGUGUAAAACUAGAAUGAGAAAAUGUAAUUUAUCAAUUUCUAUUUGUUUAAGUUUCAAAUGAAAUGAUUGGGUAAAAAACAUAAAAAUGUGUUUUUUUAUAAUAAAAAUUAUCAAAUUAGGCUAGUUUUUCGAAAAAUUGCGGGAUUAAGACGAAAAAAAACGCUUCUAGCUGAAAGUGUUUUCCAUAACGACUACCUCACUCAACGGUUAUUUAAAUAGCCGUUUAAACCCCUCCCCCACCCCCCGGACUAAUUUUUCAAGUCAAUCUCAACUCAUCUCUUUCUCACAUUCUCAAAUCUCUCUCAAUUCCCUUUUAAUUUCUCACUCAACUUUUAUUCCUCUCUCAACUCUCUCUCUCUCUCUCUCUCUCUCUCUCUCUCUCUCUCUCUCUUUUAUUAUUAAAAUUUUAUUAAGGUUUUUUAAAUUAUUUUUUGUAUUAAAAUUUAUUUGGUAUUUAUUGAAAUUAGUGAUGGAAAAAUCUCUAAUUCGUUUAGAUGACAAGUAUAUUUCGGUCGAUCAAUUGCAAAUGGUAAGAAUUUUUUUAUUAUAUUUAACCUAAUUUAGUUUAAAUAUUUUCUUGUUAUAUUAAAAUUUAAUAUUUUGUAUGUUUUUUAUAUAUAGUUGGAAGAUCAGAUUUUGGAGACUUAUAUUCGUAAUCUACUCGCUCCUCCAUCGUCUUUAAUCAAAACCAUACUUGAGAGAUGCGAAAUUUUUGCACAUGGUCUAACUGGCUCGCGCACUCGCGCACAAAAACAACAAUUUUACAAAACAAUUUAUGAGUUUGGUUGUAGUGCAGACAUACAAGUCAAUUGUAAUAUUUAUAGUGUCCAAUGGAACACCUAAGUAUUUCAAGGGGUCGAACCCAAAAGAGAUGGCGAUUGAGUAAUAAAUAGCGUACACUCUAGAUUCUAAGUGACUACUGGUACGAUUUUAUAGUACAAAAAAUCAUGCCAAGAAAAUUUUGUAAGAAAAUUAAAUACGCUACUCUAAGGACCAAAUUGUAAAGAGCAUAAAACUACAAAAUUAAACAAAAAUAGAAAACAUCGGCAGAUCGAAGUUCAAAUCAAAGCCACUAACUCAGUGUUGUGUUGGUAGAGGUGUUCAUGAGUCGGGCUCAACUAAAAAUUUAGACCCAUCUACUAGGCCUACACCCGACCCGAAAAAUGGGCCUAAAAUUUUACCCAAGCCCGACCCCGAUAAAAAUACUAAAACCCGAGCCUGACUCGGCCUGCCCAUAUUAAUUUUUUAUAUAUUUUUUAAAUAUAUAUAAUACAUCAAAAAUACUAAAAACAUCAAAAUAAAUAUUUUCUAACAAAUUGAAAAUAAAUCUUAAAAAAUAUGUAUACUUAAAUAACACUAAGAUAGAUACAACUUAACAAGCAAAUGUCUCUAAAAUAAUAACAAAAUUAACAAAAUUAACAAUAAAAUAAAUUUUAUAUAAUAUCCAAAAAUAACAAUAAAAUAGUAGCAAUAUAUAGUAAAAUGGUAGAAAAAUAUGGAGAAAACAAGAAGAAAGUAACAUUAAAAAAAAAGGUUUUUUUGUCCUUUAGUGAAUUCAGGACGAGCCGGGCAGGGUCCAGGCUGUUUUUUAAACGGCCUUAUUUUUUUGUCAAAGCCCAUUUUUUGGGCCUAUAUUUUUGUCCAAACCCUCCCACAUUUAGGGUGAGCCUUCGGGCCAUGCCGGGUGGCUCGACCCAUGAACAGAUCUACGUGUUGGGGUCCAGUAUUCUAGGUUACUGCCAAACCCCAACUGCUAAACGUUCUGCCUACCACAGUUGAAAUCUAAGGCUGAAACCGAUGAGUGUUUUCUUGUUGAUGAUUCUGAGAUAUCAUAAUGGAAACUUUCUAACAAAAUAGAGAACCCACCGCACAAUUGUGUCAUUGGACUCUAAACUUGUCCUUUCGUUCCGACCUCUCGAACUGGAACAUAUGUUGACCUUCGACAACCUUCAUAUGUGUUUGCAAACUCCGCAUAUAACUCGAGUAUUAAUGAUCCACUAGUAAUAUGCAUCUGCACCAUGCCUCCAUCCACCUUGUGCCUUUGAUAUCAAAAGCGUCAUAUUUGACGAGGUCAACCGAAGCACAAAAUCGAUAUUUCAAUGAUGAUACUCUCAUUUGAUUGGAUUUGACGAUUUUUUGCCUAAUUCUUGCACGCAACUCCAGCAAUUGUAUGUUAAGGUUGAAAGCCAACCAUGCUGUGUUCUCAGAUAAAAAAUGACCCUAUUGUCAGCAUCACGGACUUCACUGUAGUAAUAAACAACAUUAUUUUGUCCACUCAUUUUCAAUGAAAUAACCUAUUUCACAUGUUCGAAACAAAAACAUUAUGCAAAAAAUAGAGUUGUAAUUAUAUAUGAGCAACAAAAAUCGAACCUUACUUUAUGCAAUUACGUGUUUACUCAAAAUUAUGCCUUACGAAAUGGCUUGCGAAUUUCAUCUUGCAAUUUUGUUUGCUUGAAAUUGCCUUAUGGCAUUCAAUGCUGAAAGCCAUCCUUUUAUAUAGCCGAGGUGAGUGACAAUUGAUUCAGAAAAUUUUCCCGAGUGAGUGGUAGAGGAAAAACGCGCCCUACGUGGAGCGUUUUCUCACUACCACUCUCAACUCCUACAAUUUCCCACUCACUCAUCAGAUAUCCCGAGAUUCUCGAGAUAAUAUUUUCUGAAAAAUUCUUAUCGACCUCAAUCUACCAUAAGCUACGAGUGAUCAAAACUCGGUUGCAUUCGAAAAAAUUGAAAAAAAAAUUACGAACUAAGAGUUAAUCGAAUCGAGUAGUUCGAGUUUUGAUUUUGAAUCAAAUUAAAAUUUACAAUUCGAAUAUAUAAUUGGUGUAAAUAUGAUUAUUGUAAAUACUCUUCUGAUACCUAUCAUUUUUCAUUUUUGAAAAUUAUAUCGAAUUGUGCUCUAAAUAAUUUCAAAAUUUUAAAAAUAAUAUUAACUUUAUAACUUAAAAAAUUAUAAAAAGUUUAAUUAUUAAAGUUGUAAUAAUAUAUGAGAAACAAAUAAAUUAUAAAUUAUUAAAGUGUAAAAGUGCAAUUAUAUUGACAUGUAAUUUCAUAAAAAAAAAUAAGAAACGAGAAAUUUUGUAG